ACGCUCGACACCUACGGGAGGUAGCAGUGGGGAAUAUUGCACAAUGGGGGAAACCCUGAUGCAGCGACGCCGCGUGAGCGAAGAAGUAUUUCGGUAUGUAAAGCUCUAUCAGCAGGGAAGAAACUGACGGUACCUGACUAAGAAGCACCGGCUAAAUACGUGCCAGCAGCCGUGGUAAUCUGAGCGGGCUGGCAAGGC
rnacentral:rRNA from 1 species